UACGUAGGGUGCGAGCGUUGUCCGGAAUUAUUGGGCGUAAAGAGCUCGUAGGCGGUGUGUCGCGUCGGCCGUGAAAACCUGCAGCUUAACUGUGGGCUUGCGGUCGAUCCGGGCAUCACUGGAGUUCGGCAGGGGAGACUGGAAUUCCUGGUGUAGCGGUGAAAUGCGCAGAUAUCAGGAGGAACACCGGUGGCGAAGGCGGGUCUCUGGGCCGAUACUGACGCUGAGGAGCGAAAGCGUGGGGAGCGAACAGG
rnacentral:rRNA from 1 species